rnacentral:sRNA from 1 species
ACAAACCGCCUUAGCGGAACCAGCGUCCAUUUCCCCGGGUUUCGACGGAAAUGGGCAAGGCACGUGAUU